GGAGUCUGGGCCGUGUCUCAGUCCCAAUGUGGCUGAUCGUCCUCUUAGACCAGCUAUGGAUCGUUGCCUUGGUCGGCCAUUACCUAACCAACUAGCUAAUCCAAUAUGGGCCGCUCUCUCAGCGUCUUGCGACUUUCUCCCGUAGGACUUAUGCGGUAUUGCUCUUCGUUUCCAAAGAAUAUUCCCCACUAAGAGAUACGUUCCCAUACAUUACUCACCCGUCCGCUACUGCUGUAUUGCUACAGCUGUUCAACUUGCAUGACUUAGGCCUGCCGCCAGCGUUCGUUCUGAGCCACUGAUCAAACUACU
rnacentral:rRNA from 1 species